rnacentral:rRNA from 1 species
UACGUAGGGGGCAAGCGUUGUCCGGAUUUAUUGGGCGUAAAGAGCUCGUAGGCGGUUUGGUAAGUCGGAUGUGAAAUCUCCAGGCUCAACCUGGAGGGGUCAUUCGAUGCUGCCAUGACUAGAGUUCGGUAGGGGAGUGUGGAAUUCCUGGUGUAGCAGUGAAAUGCGUAGAGAUCAUGAGGAAGACCAGUGGCGAAGGCGGGUCUCUGGACAGUUCCUGACACUGAGGCACGAAGGCCAGGGGAGCAAACGGG